GUGACCUAGCCAUGAGCAGGCUGAAGUGGAGGUAAAACUCCAUGGAGGGCCGAACCCACUCCCGUUGAAAUGGUAGGGGAUGACUUGUGGCUAGCGGAGAAAUUCCAAUCGAACUCGGAGAUAGCUGGUUCUCUCCGAAAUAGCUUUAGGGCUAGCCUCGAUUUGACAUUACCGGAGGUAAAGCACUGAAUGGGCUAGGGGCCGAGAGGUUACUGAACCCUAUCAAACUAAGAAUGCCGGAUAAUGAUAAUCGGGAGUCAGACAGUGUGAGAUAAGUUUCAUUGUCAAAAGGGAAACAGCCCAGACCCACAGCUAAGGUCCCAAAGUACAGUUAAGUGGUGAAGGAUGUGGAAUUGCAUAGACAACCAGGAUGUUGGCUUAGAAGCAGCCACUCAUUAAAAGAGUGCGUAAUAGCUCACUGGUCGAGUGAUUCUGCGCCGAAAAUUUAACGGGGCUAAAUUGUACACCGAAGCUUGGGAUACAUCUAAUGUAUGGUAGGAGAGCGUUGUAUACGGGGUGAAGUCAGAGCGGAAGCGCUGGUGGACUGUAUACAAGUGAGAAUGCCGGAAUGAGUAGCGAGAAUUAUGUGAGAAUCAUAAUGGCCGAAAGACUAAGGUUUUAGAAGGAAGGUUCGUCCGCUUCUAGUCAGCCGGGAGCUAAGGCGAGGCCGAAAGGCGUAGUCGAUGCACAUACGGUGGAGAUUCCGUAGCCGCCAUUAAUUUAAACAGAGGGACACUUUCAAGGGGCAUGACCCGGGCGUUGGUAGACCCGGGCGUAAGGGACCGAAGAUUAGUAGGGAAGCAUGCUUUAAGGAAGGCGAGAAAAGCUCUGUGUAUAGAAGAUGGCGCCCGUACCGCAAACCGACACAGGUAGUCAGGAAGAGAAUUCUAAGGCCAACGGGAGAAGGGUAGUUAAGGAACUCGGCAAAUUGACCCCGUAACUUCGGAAUAAGGGGUGCUCACGAGAGUGAGCCGCAGUGAAUAGGUCCAGGCGACUGUUUAUCAAAAACACAGCUCUCUGCUAAAUCGAAAGAUGACGUAUAGGGGGUGACACCUGCCCGGUGCUGGAAGGUUAAGAGGAAGGGUACAAGCUCUGAAUUGAAGCCCCAGUAAACGGCGGCCGUAACUAUAACGGUCCUAAGGUAGCGAAAUUCCUUGUCGGGU
rnacentral:rRNA from 1 species